rnacentral:rRNA from 1 species
CCGGCGAUUUCCGAAUGGGGAAACCCAGUGUGAUUCGUCACACUAUCAUUAACUGAAUCCAUAGGUUAAUGAGGCGAACCGGGGGAACUGAAACAUCUAAGUACCCCGAGGAAAAGAAAUCAACCGAGAUUCCCCCAGUAGCGGCGAGCGAACGGGGAGCAGCCCAGAGCCUGAAUCAGUGUGUGUGUUAGUGGAAGCGUCUGGAAAGACGCGCGAUACAGGGUGACAGCCCCGUACACAAAAAUGCACAUACUGUGAGCUCGAUGAGUAGGGCGGGACACGUGGUAUCCUGUCUGAAUAUGGGGGGACCAUCCUCCAAGGCUAAAUACUCCUGACUGACCGAUAGUGAACCAGUACCGUGAGGGAAAGGCGAAAAGAACCCCGGCGAGGGGAGUGAAAAAGAACCUGAAACCGUGUACGUACAAGCAGUGGGAGCCUCUUUAUGGGGUGACUGCGUACCUUUUGUAUAAUGGGUCAGCGACUUAUAUUCUGUAGCAAGGUUAACCGAAUAGGGGAGCCGAAGGGAAACCGAGUCUUAACUGGGCGUUAAGUUGCAGGGUAUAGACCCGAAACCCGGUGAUCUAGCCAUGGGCAGGUUGAAGGUUGGGUAACACUAACUGGAGGACCGAACCGACUAAUGUUGAAAAAUUAGCGGAUGACUUGUGGCUGGGGGUGAAAGGCCAAUCAAACCGGGAGAUAGCUGGUUCUCCCCGAAAGCUAUUUAGGUAGCGCCUCGUGAAUUCAUCUCCGGGGGUAGAGCACUGUUUCGGCAAGGGGGUCAUCCCGACUUACCAACCCGAUGCAAACUGCGAAUACCGGAGAAUGUUAUCACGGGAGACACACGGCGGGUGCUAACGUCCGUCGUGAAGAGGGAAACAACCCAGACCGCCAGCUAAGGUCCCAAAGUCAUGGUUAAGUGGGAAACGAUGUGGGAAGGCCCAGACAGCCAGGAUGUUGGCUUAGAAGCAGCCAUCAUUUAAAGAAAGCGUAAUAGCUCACUGGUCGAGUCGGCCUGCGCGGAAGAUGUAACGGGGCUAAACCAUG